CGGGAUAUGGCCUAGUUCGGUAAGGCGCUUGUCUGGGGGACAAGAGAUCGCAGGUUCAAAUCCUGCUAUCCCGACCA
rnacentral:tRNA from 1 species